rnacentral:rRNA from 1 species
UGGGGAAUAUUGCACAAUGGAGGGAACUCUGAUGCAGCGACGCCGCGUGUGUGAUGAAGGAAUUCGUUUCGUAAAACUCUGUUCUAUGGGAAGAAAAGGACUGUACCAUAGGAGAAAGCUCCGGCUAAAUACGUGCCAGCAGCCGCGGUAAUACGUAUGGAGCGAGCGUUGUCCGGAAUUAUUGGGCGUAAAGGGUGCGCAGGCGGCUUUACAAGUUGGAUGUGAAAUAUUGUGGCUCAACCACAAACGUGCAUCCAAAACUGAAAAGCUUGAGUUAAGGAGAGGUAAGUGGAAUUCCUGGUGUAGCGGUGGAAUGCGUAGAUAUCAGGAGGAAUACCGGUGGCGAAGGCGACUUACUGGACUUAAACUGACGCUCAGGGACGAAAGCGUGGGGAGCAAACAGG